AUCGCUUCUCGGCCUUUUGGUCAAGAUCAAGUGUAGAUCAGUGCAGCAUUACACCAGCUAGCCUCUUGUGAAAAACUACUUAUUGCUAUUUCUAGCAAUGUUUUCUUUUUCCUUUUUUUUUCUUUUUUUUCUGAGACAGGGUUUCUCUGUGCAGCCUUGGCUGUCCUGAAACUCACUCUGUAGACCAGGCUGGUCUCAAA